UGCAUUUUAUCAGAUCCCAUGACAGUUAAACAUCUUAUUUCUGGCACACAUCUUCAUGACUUCGUGUUACAGGGAAGGUUACUGAAAGUUGAAAACUCCCUUUGAAUCUUCACAGUGAUUUUGCAGCUUUCAGCUUUCUGAAAAAGUCCCCAGGGCUGAAUUCAAGUUGGAAUAGAAGGCACAUCUCCCACACCCCAGCACAAUUCUUUGCCCUGCUCUAACUGCUCUUGUCCUCUUAGUCUUCUUUAAUAAUUCAUCCAGAACUGCCUCUGCAAAAUCACUGUGAAGAUUCAAAGGGAGUUUUCAGCAUCAGACCCCAGUAAGCUCAGUCACAAACCUGCUUUUAAAUGCUACUCAUCAAAACAAGUAAAAAGAAACACUACAUUUGAUACAGGAGCAGAGAUGACUCUGAAUGAAAUAGAUUCUGAGCUUUCCCAGAACUCAGAAGCAUUUAGGAAGGAAAAAUCAGCCUGCACUAUUUCUAAACAGGAAGCAAGAGCCUGGAUGAGGACAUGAGUGUGGGAUGCCCGACAGUAUUUCCACUCUUAGCAGGAAGCAAAGGACAGUAAUGAGGGUGCCCAGCUCUGUGGAGUCUGUUCAGCAGCACAGAACAAGCUCAGAGAAACGCCUAAGGAAAUCAGGUACUUGGCUAAUGUGAACUCUCUUGCAGCACCUAAUGAUGCAUAAAGACAGAAAGUGACGGCAAAGGAAAUGCCAAAAACUGGCUUGAAGGCUUUGCAACACCAGCCAGGUAGCAUUAAAGACACAUCAGUCUGGCUCUGUGACCUGUCAUUCCAUAUUCACAGGCUACCUUCAACCCCACCAGUCACAGCUAUUGACAGAGGAGUGGCCUUCAAGAAUUUUGGACUGGUAUUACCAGCUUUUAGAAAGGACAUGAAUGAAAAGAUGGUUUAAAACAAUAAACAGGCAAGCAUUCAACAUGAAGAUUGAAUAAGCCAAAGCACUGACUCAAAUUUCAUUCAAGUCAAGAAGAGACUUCCUGUUACAGACCAGGAUUUUGGCUGACAAAAAUUUUCCUUAAUAAUUCACUUCCUUGCUAUGGACUUCUUGCACCUAGGAAGUAUGCUCCGGCUAGCUUGAGGAAGAUUGCUACAAUAAAAACCAGACAAUUAACUUGUGAACUAGGACAGAAGAAUGGUCACUUUCUACCACUCAUUCUGGCCAGCAUGCAAAUCCAUGUACCUCAUAAAUUCAUCCCCCAUAUAUCAGUUAGCAUCUUUUUCCUCUGAAAGGAAGCCCUCAGCAGUGUGCCAGAGACUAAUUUGGCUCCCUUCUCACAGAUAUUAAUUAAACCCUCAUUCAAAUGAGGACUGGAAGACGAGCCCUUUCCCCUCGUAAUGUUUUAAAAUGCAAUUAAGAGUAAAUGGUACAACUGAAAGAUGCCUAGACAAAUAUUGAUGGGUUCCAGAAGCAGAACCAUUUGCCACAAACAACAUUCAUUCAGAACACAAGGUGAUGGUACCAGGACAAGCCAAGAAAGAAUGGGGCUUAAUUAAAUUUCAUUAAAGGAACAUAAAAUCUUGGCAGCACUCUGUAACAGCUCUGUCUCAAACACUGCUUGAUCGAAUCCCUCGGACUGUGGUAUAACAGUCCCUUCCAUGCCACUUAGACUCCAGGUAUUUCAAUAGUACUGGAAGCCUGAGGCUGCAGAGAGCAGCUCCUGUCACCAGAAGGGCUUUAACCCAGUCACACCCCUCCUGACACUUGAGGGGAAAAAGAGGGUGUGUAGUUCUCAAUAAAUUGGGAAAAACAUGUAUUAUCACAGCAGCUUCACUUUCCUACUACUUAGAAAAUACAUAUAUAGGCUGGAGGGGGCGGGGGGGAGAUAAAGACUAGUGACAACUGCACACAAGACACAAAUAUUAUCUGGAUAGGACAAGACCAGAAUUUGAGAAGACCAGAAGCUUGCCUGCAAGUUAAAACUUGCUAUUAUUAGUCCAAUUCCCCUUUCCCAUUCCCUUUGGUUCCUCUGUGAAAAACAGAGCUGGUGAAAGCUCAUUCUUCAGAGUGAGAUUCCUUCAGUAGAAGGAAUACUAAUAAUUUUAUAUGCAUUUGGAGAGAUUCCUGGAAGCAACCAAGGAGUUAAGAUAAGCUACUUAGGUCCACCUGCCUGUUUAAGCUUGAAACAACCCUAAGCCACAUGCUGCUUGACCUGUCUAUUCUCAAAAUCCUGGUGCCAGCCUCCCAACAGCUCCUUACCCUCCACACUUGCAAUGCUCUCUUUGGUGAUUGCAAACCAGAGUUUGGUAACCAUCUUCUAAACCAGCAGAUAAGCACUGUAAAAAAGAAGAGACUGACCAGCAUACACAUCUUUUUUAAAAAAAUCCUCUAUUCUUCCCCUCUGGUGCUAAGCAGGCACACAGUAAAACAAACAAAACACCAAUCUGAAAAUAGAUUUUCUGUCUAGGUGGUUUUAAGUAAGACUGAAUGACAAAAAAGCCUGAACUCUUGGCACAGAGAAAGACUGUUCAAAGUGAACACCCCUAGAGAAGGAAAUGCCAGAGUUAAAGGAGGAAUGGACAAAGCAGAUAAAGCUGUCAGUUCUGGCAGAGGGGAGAGGCUAAGAAGUUCCUAAACUCUAGAGCAAAGCCCAGGAUGGAAAGAAUCAGAGUCAAAGCCAGGUUGUUCAGAAUUUGCAUGCACUUUAUAAAAGGCCUGACAAAGUUACUUUAACUGAAAAAAAAUCGGAAGGCUUGAAUUUAUUCAGGAAUGAACCUUAUUGCUUUUGUGCUCAUUCAGUAAGAGUUCAAAAGGCCAAAAUUCAACUUUGAUACUUUAAAAAACCAUUAACUCCUUAAAUCACUGGGCAUCCUGAGCAACACAGAUACACUGAAGUGUCUGCUGGAUGUGACAGAAUGAACACCUUUCUGACCUGCAGAAGCAAACCAAAACAACAGCUUGAAGUAGAUUUGUUUUGAACUACAUAACGUUCUACGUGUAUCUAAAAAAAAUCCAACUGAUAACACCCAAACCUUUCUGUGGCACAGCAAUUGUCACUUCAAAGGAUUUUUCACACUCCUGACCACGUCUGGUUCCCUUCAGAGGCUGCUCUGAAUACAAAACAGAUACACUGUGAAAGAAAAGCUACUUUACACCAUAAUGUUACCCUUAUUUGUUGACAUCUAGAUCUACUAUUUAUUUUCUUUUAGUUUAGCAUAACUUGAUGCAUACAACCAUAGAGACCUGAUGCAGUUUAUUCAGCUCUUGUACUGCAGUUUUUUCCCCAUCAGCUGAGCUAACUGAUUUCAGUGGAUAUCUACAACACUGCCCUAUUUUAUAUGGGCCUACCAUGACAUUUUGAAAGGACCCAAGUAACUUUGAACAAAGCACCACAAAGAAUUCACAGAUCUCACUGAUGGAAAUACUUUUUAUUAGAAAGAGUAACAAAGUGCUUCCCAUAGGAUUCAUUCAAUACAGAGUUUUUAAGAAGUGAGAUUUUUCCUUUAUAUAUGGACAGUUUUGAUGUGAUGAUGUUUCAGCGCAAACAGGGUUCUCCAAGAUUCUCCUGCAGAGCUCCUCUGUACACACUAUUGCAACCAUUUAUGCAUCUGGCAGUCGUGAAGCAGCACUGAAGAGUCCAUCCCUUAAAAAAUUAAGGUUAUGUAAAGUGCUUGCAAUGUCACACUGACCAACAGGAAUUAUAUUGUUUGUUGUUGUUAAACACAGAUUUAAGGGACAUAAUUCUUUCAUACAGUCCUACACACAGGUGCAUAAAGGUGCUUUUAGCUCUAUCAAUAAUAAUAUUAACAGCAUAAAUAACAUUAUCAAUUUUUACUAUAUAGACAACAGUGAAAUUGCCCUUUUUUUUUCUUUUUAAAAAUUAACCUCUUGCCUUUUUAGCUAGGGACAUCUUUUGAACAUUUGUUGCUUCCUUUGCCUUCCUACUAUGUCUGGAUGGAAUAAAAAACACAAGCAAGGACUGUUCACCUAUUUCCCCCCCACUUCUGGCACACAUUUAUGAUCAGAUUUCUUUGGACACAUAUAUGCAUCAUUUCACCCCAUUCCACUUUCCACUCUUUAUGUCUGAUUCUAUUCCAGUUCCCCUUUUUCCUUAGCUCCUCCUGCCUUCCCUGCAAAUGAGAAGGAGAUAGUACAGCAAUAGCACAAAACUAGGACAGACAUUUCAGUACAAAUUGUUAUAUACAAGGGAAUGUAUGAAACCAAACAGGAAAGGAGAACUGACCAUGCAAUGCAUUCUUCUUUUUCCAUUUUCAGCCCACCUUACACCACUAGCACUGUUUUUUCAGGUUAAAACUAUGAAACUACUAAAAAGGACAAUUAGUUACCCUUAAGAGAAACCACCUAAGGCAUUCACUAAACCCACUAUCAGCCCCAAAGCUACCCUACCUUUCCCCAGAGUACAUGUACAGACAUGAACAUCGAACAAACAACUGAACUGAAUUCACAAGUGCAACAGUCACAGUUCUGCUCAUGAUGAAAGGUCACAUGUACAUAAACGAGGUCCUCACUGAAGAUCUUGGUCACACCCUUGGCUCACUGUUCCCCCUUCCUUAUGUACAGAGCACAGUCACCACUUCAAGGAAAUACCACAUGCUAUCUCACAGCACAGCACCUUUACACAACAGAACUACUGCAACAAGGGUAUCACAGAAACACUUCUUCCUAUGGGAUGAAGGGAAUUAAAUGAGAUCCUCGGUACAGUAACUGGAUUGUGGGAAGUAAGAAAGGAUUUUUUU